UACGUAGGCAGCGAGCGUUGUUCGGAGUUACUGGGCGUAAAGGGUGUGUAGGCGGUUGUUUAAGUUUGGUGUGAAAUCUCCCGGCUCAACUGGGAGGGUGCGCCGAAUACUGAAUGACUAGAGUGCGGGAGAGGAAAGUGGAAUUCCUGGUGUAGCGGUGAAAUGCGUAGAGAUCCGGAGGAACACCAAAGGCGAAGGCAGUGUCCUGGGGAGUACCUGACGCUCAGGUGCGAAAGCCAGGGGAGCGAACGGG
rnacentral:rRNA from 1 species